CCAGUUCUCUAGCCCCCGUGAGGCCGUGACUCCAAAAGAAAAAGAAAAGGGUCGGUGUCCUCCGGCGACUUCGCCCAGCCAUCUCCCCGGCGAUCCCGGCGGCGGCCACUGAAGGCUUUGGCUUCACCUCCCUCUCCCGAUUCGAUCGAUUGCGGAGCCUAGCUGAGGCGGGAAGGUAGAUCGAUGGAUGCUCCGGAGGUGAUUUCCCAACGUGUCCAUCCCAAGAAGAAACCAUGUGUGGAUGGCAAUCAACAGCAGCAUUCCCAGACAUCCAUGGGCCGCGCGAUAUCCGAGGUGCUUAACGAUGACAACAUCCUCAUCGAGAUCCUCAUCCGUGUCGGCUUCCCUACCACCCUCGUCCGCGCCGCCCUUGUCUGCAAGCGCUGGUACCACCUCGCCUCAGACCGCGGGUUCCUCUGCCGUUUCCGCAAGCGCAACCCACCCCGCCUCCUUGGCUUAUACAUCGACGUAAGGUGGACCGGGUUGGGGUUGUACGCUACUCCGCGCUUUGUCCCACUGCAGCCCCAGGCCCCGGAGCUUGACACCGUUGUCCGCCGCGUGGCGAGCCAUAGCUUCGACGCCUACGGUGACGGAAUAUGGAUCAUGCACUGCCAGAAUGGCAGCAUCUUCACCAGAUACCGCAAAGGAACAGAAGUGACACAUGGAGUUUACCGCCCAUUGUGCCCUGAGAGAGACAUGGACUUCAUCCCACCACUCCCAACCGCCCAGAACCGCAUGCAAAAACUUCUUGGUGCAAUCCUCUCCAAAGAAGGCGAUGGGCUGUCCUACCUGUAUGUGUUGGCGGAGUGUACCGCGCAAACAAAAACUUUCAAGGUGCGUGUGUAUAUGUUGCAAGGCGGCGUCUGGUGCAUGCAUACCUCGGCCACAACACAACUCCCUCAUAUGCUGCCUGCACUGAAACCUGUGCUUGUUGACGAUAAAAUUUAUAUGGCUGACGUCUUCAGUAAUGACAUUAUUGUCUUGGAUUUGGCGACCUCGAGUUUUUCCAGAAUUCUGCUCCCACAAGGAGUGAAGUAUCACACUCUUCACACCAUCUUGUCUCGGGCUGAUGAUGCUUCUGGUCUAUAUCUCAUCCAUGUCCAUGCCAAGGAGCAUCAACUUUGCAUCUGGCUCCACAAGGGGGACAACUGGUUGCUGGUCGAUACCCUUUGUUUGCAUCAGAUGUGGGCUAACUUGAGGAUGCGAGAUCACACGCUUGAGGACGAGGAUAUUAGUUACGCCUAUAUAAGCCAGGUGGGAGAUAAUGUUCAGUUUGUGUUCUUGAAGACAAUGUGUGGACGCAUACUCUAUCUGGACGUCACUAGCAGGACACUACAUAAAGUGCAUGGGAUGGCAGAAAAGGAUCGACAUUUCAGUGCUAUCUAUCCUUUUAUGAUGAUUUGGCCGCCCAUAUUCCCUGCGCUCAAGGAUGAUCAUGCAAGGUUUUCUCUUUUGAAGGCCUUUACAUGAUCUAUGUAUUGCUCUUGUUGAGGCAGUUUGUUUUGCACAGAAAUUUCUAUACUGUGGGCAGGGGAGUUGGGUGGAAAUGGGUCAACCUGAAACUGGACGCCAAGUGAAGAAAAGGGGAUAUCCGGAAGGUCUUUAGAUCACAGUACUUUUCUGGCAAAGCCUAUCUUAGUGUGCACAAACUUUGUUUUCAGUCAGUCACAAGUUUAUUGGGUACUGGAUAAGGAUGUUAUGUAUAUGUGUAACUGGAUCAGUUGCUGCUCUGCCCCUUUUGUAAGAAUCCUUGUAUGUUUAUGCUUGAAAAAGCUAUCUGUCCAGAGUCCGAUCUAUCUGUGUUGCGGUA